rnacentral:lncRNA from 1 species
CCUUGUCAAGAAGUCAGAGUAUUAUCGGCAAUCAAGAGUAUCCUCGUGCUGCUUUAUCACCACAUGAAAGGAGAAUUCUGCUAAAGCCUGACUCUUUUAUUUUAAUGACUAAAUAAAUUGCAACUCUUUAAAUUCUCCAUGUUUCGAAUGAAAUAAUGCAAAGGUCGGACAAUAACUUUUUAAGAUAAGAACCUUUUUGAGCGUUAAAUUAUACAUAUAGCAUUUCAAGAGAUAGCACAAUAAGUGUUGGAAGAUGAAAGGAAAUAAGAUACUGAAUAUACUAAAGGAGCACAACUUUGGACUUCCAAAGGAUCAGAUAAAACGUACAAGUAAUUAUAGUUCAAGGGCUUAAUUAAUCGACUCUUGUGGUCCUAAAUAGUCAUAAUUAAGAUUUAACGCCAUAAAAACAAUAAGGAGAAGCCUAAUGAAAGGAGAAUUCUGCUAAAGCCUGACUCUUUUAUUUUAAUGACUAAAUAAAUUGCAACUCUUUAAAUUCUCCAUGUUUCGAAUGAAAUAAUGCAAAGGUCGGACAAUAACUUUUUAAGAUAAGAACCUUUUUGAGCGUUAAAUUAUACAUAUAGCAUUUCAAGAGAUAGCACAAUAAGUGUUGGAAGAUGAAAGGAAAUAAGAUACUGAAUAUACUAAAGGAGCACAACUUUGGACUUCCAAAGGAUCAGAUAAAACGUACAAGUAAUUAUAGUUCAAGGGCUUAAUUAAUCGACUCUUGUGG